rnacentral:rRNA from 1 species
GAUGAACGCUGGCGGCGUGCCUAAUACAUGCAAGUCGAACGAAACUUCUUUAUCACCGAGUGCUUGCACUCACCGAUAAAGAGUUGAGUGGCGAACGGGUGAGUAACACGUGGGCAACCUGCCCAAAAGAGGGGGAUAACACUUGGAAACAGGUGCUAAUACCGCAUAACCAUAGUUACCGCAUGGUAACUAUGUAAAAGGUGGCUAUACUACCGCUUUUGGAUGGGCCCGCGGCGCAUUAGCUAGUUGGUAGGGUAAAGGCUUACCAAGGCAAUGAUGCGUAGCCGAAUUGAGAGGUUGAUCGGCCACAUUGGGACUGAGACACGGCCCAAACUCCUACGGGAGGCAGCAGUAGGGAAUCUUCCACAAUGGGCGAAAGCCUGAUGGAGCAACGCCGCGUGGGUGAAGAAGGUCUUCGGAUCGUAAAACCCUGUUGUUAGAGAAGAAAGUGCGUGAGAGUAACUGUUCACGUUUCGACGGUAUCUAACCAGAAAGCCAUGGCUAACUACGUG